AUUGAACGCUGGCGGCAGGCCUAACACAUGCAAGUCGAGCGGAGCGGCGGACGGGUGAGUAAUGCCUAGGAGUCUGCCAGGUAGUGGGGGAUAACGUCCGGACACGGGCGCUAAACCCGCAUACUAUCAGAUGAGCCUAGGUCGGCUUAGAUAGUUGGUGGGGUAAAGGCCUACAAAGGCGACGAUCCGGAACUGGUCUGAGAGGAUGACCAGUCACACUGGAACUGAGACACGGUCCAGACUCCUACGGUAGGCAGCAGUGGGGAAUAUUGGACAAUGGGCGAAAGUCUGAUCCAGCCAUGCCGCGUGUGUGAAGAAGGUCUUCGGAUUGUAAAGCACUUUAAGUUGGGAGGCGUUACCAACAGAAUAAGCACCGGCUAACUCCGUGCCAGCAGCCGCGGUAAUAC
rnacentral:rRNA from 1 species